UAGCAAAGGAAGAAGCUGACCUACCGUUUGGCCUCAGACGUGCCUGCAACACCACUCUUUUUUUAUGCGCAGUCAGUAAAGCGUUUUUCUCUGUGUCGUGCACCUGCCGGUCGGAUGUUCAUCCAACGGUGAGCCUUUUGAAUAUUUAUUUUCUUGAUUUCUCACAGCGCACCACAAAAGGGAUGGGCAAGCCAGGCAAAAAGGCCGGAAAGGGGCUUCUCGCCCCUACCAACCCAAACCGGCGCACCGACCCAAAUAAGACUAGUCUUCGGGAUCAGCGCACCAUUAAGCGGCUGAAAAUGUACAAGUCGAAAAUUAAACGUGACGAAAAGGGCAACAUCAUCAAAGGAAGCGUGCUCAAAGCAUCCGAUCGCAUUGAGCAGCAGAUGGCGCGCAUUGCACCUGACCGCCGUUGGUUCGGCAACACCCGGACCAUCGGCCAGGAGGCGCUUCAGAAGUUCCGCGAAGAAAUGGGAGCCAAGUAUAAAGACCCGUACAGCGUCAUCAUCAAGCAGUCCAAGCUGCCGUUGAGCCUUCUUGAAGAGCCGAAGAACACUGACGGAAGCAUCCGUAAAGAAAUGGAGUGGGACAAAACGUUUGGUGAUAAGGCGAACCGCAAGCGGGUGCGACUCAAUGCUGUGGACAUGUCAACCUUGGCGACAGAGGCCAACGCCAAAGGUGACUAUUACAACUGCAACCAGAAAGAGAAGGACCGCGAUUUGAUGAAGGGGGUGCACAAGGAUCGCGACGAUAAAACCAGAAACGGGAUUUUGAUGACCAAGGGUCAAUCAAACCGAAUUUGGUGCGAGCUGUACAAGGUGAUUGACAGCUCGGAUGUAGUGCUGUACGUCGUCGACGCGCGCGAUCCGAUGGGUACGCGAAGUGCUUUUCUGGAGGAUUUCAUGCGGCGUGAGAAAAAAUAUAAACACUUCGUUCUGGUGUUGAACAAGUGCGAUUUAGUGCCUCUGUGGGCCACGGCUCGCUGGCUUCAGAUUCUCAGCAAGGACUAUCCCACCAUUGCUUUCCAUGCCAGUGUGAAUCACCCUUUUGGCAAAGGUAACGUCAUUUCUUUACUCCGGCAGUUUGCGCGUCUGCACAACGUAACGCACCGCGGCAGCAAGCGCACCAAGACGCCGAUUUCUGUGGGUGUGAUUGGUUACCCAAAUGUGGGAAAGAGCUCGCUGAUUAACACGCUACGUCGUAAAUCCGUCUGCAAGGUGGCACCCAUUCCUGGUGAGACGAAGGUGUGGCAGUAUGUUGCUCUGACACGCAGUAUCUUCCUCAUCGACUGCCCCGGCGUGGUGUACGACCGGGAGUCGAACAACGAUAUUCAGGCGGUGCUGAAGGGUGUCGUGCGUGUGGAGCGUCUCGGAAAUGCGGACAAGACUGAUGUCGUGGAUACCGUGUUGAAGAUUGUCAAGCACGGCGAUAUUGUGGCCACUUAUGGCGUCAGAGAAUGGCGCGACGUUGUUGAUUUUCUCGAGAAGCUUGCAAAGCUGCGCGGAAAGCUGGUUGCUGGAGGUGAGCCGGACGUAGAAGCUGCCGCGCGCAUGGUCUUGUACGACUGGCAGCGCGGGCGUCUGCCGUGGUUUAACGCGCCGCCGUUCGAGUCCAAUAAACACCACCGUGAUGCGAUGGAGCAGCCGCAGGAAAAGCACAUGAAGCUGAUUGAGCACUACAGCACCUUCAACGUGGUAGAUGACACCAUUCAUCGUGGCGAUGAGGAGCAAGAUGAGGCAGAUGACGGGGACGAGGAAAGCGUGAAUGACGCGCCUGAAGAGGACCAGCUCGACAGCGGUAGUGAGGCGGAGAAGGAUGAGGAAGCUGUCAAGCCUUCGAAACCGAGCAAGACUGACAGGCUGCCUGCGAAGAAGAUGCACGCGCAGCUGGCAACAGUGGCCACGUACGUGCGCGAGCAGGAGGAGAAGCAGCGCAAGGCCCGGCGACAGCAGAAGCGGAAGGCCGCACGAAAGGGGCAGGAGCGCGUGGAGGCUUUUUCAGCGGACGCUGAUCGCGAGAGCGACGAUGCGCUUUGGGCGCGGUUCUUGGUUGCUGCCCAGGAGUAACGCAAAGCACAAGAAACGUAUGUGCGUUUUGCUGCUGGUGCCGUUGUUUUAAGUGUGUGUGUGUGCGACACCUCUCCUGCUGCGCAUGAUCGUUCAUCGUCUCGCGUCUUGCGUAUCCCAUUUGCCUAGAGAAACAACGGCCGCUGUUGCCGUUUCUUUUUUUUUUGGCGUACUCUAUCCAUCGCUCUGCUUGGUCUGUGUUUUAGCCUGUGUCUGCUGGUCACCUUUUCAUUUUCGCUGUUCCUGAUUUUUCUGUGACCCCCCUCCACGACGAAGAGGGAAGGGAUACACACACACACACACACGCCUCGCAGCACGGGGCCCACCGACCCCACCCCCCUGUGUGCGAGGGGAAGCCGAGCAGCCCCCCAGCCCGUUCCAACCCCGAACCGCCGCUGGCGAUGGCCGGGCCGAGCACCUACGACGUAGCGCCGUCCGAGCAACCUGCGACAGUGAACACGCCCGCGCCGCCCCGCGAGCGAUGCACCAAGGGUGCGGGCGGAGUUCGGCGCAGGGGCCACGCGGGGAUGGCUAGACCGGCGCAUCGCUGCACCGCGUGUGCCUCUACGGCUGCCUCGCACCGCGGGGUGGGGGCCUGUGGCGGGCCAGGGGAUCGAGUGGCGUUUGACUCCAUUUUCAAUGGCGGCGAAAUGGACGAGUUGGGGAAAAAUGUGUUCCUCGUGUCUGUGCGUGUUUUUUUUCUUUUUUUGCCUUUACGCUUAAACGAGCACAGCCGUGUAAGUGCCGACACUUCUGUUUCGGCUGUUGUUAACUUCAUCUAAGCAGUGAGGGGAGUGAAGGGCAACUCCGUGUAAAGUGGUGCGCGUGCGAGCCAAUCGAUCGUCCCUCUCCUGUCCGGGCACGCGAGGCACCCAGAAUAACGAAUAAGCGAAAAGGGCACCAUUAACGUGUGUAUGUGUGUGUGUGUGGGGGGAGGAACGUUGAGGUAUGAAGACCUUCGCAGUUGUAUGGGCACGCUACUGCGGCGCAUUCUACCGCACUAGGCUUUCCGCAGAUUGUGUCCACGGAAAACAAGAGAAAAGGUCUUUCUCUGUUGCUACCCCCUACCACAUCUGGUUGUUGUGGCACCUCCCGAUGGCGCAUUUUUCGAAUCCGUGGUGCGAGCAGCAGAGGGAGAGCAGCCCCGGCAACAACGCUCUCGGUCCCUCUCAUUGGAUUACAUAUGUGCACAUAUAUAUAUAUAUAUGUUGCUGUUGCGUGUGUACACAUGGAGACGUCGCCCGUCACUCCACCUGUGUAGCUGACGGCACUCGCUCAUGGCACUUCCUGUCUUUCGCUCUUUCUUCUACCCUUGCCCGCUUCAG
rnacentral:misc_RNA from 1 species